UAACAUCUGCAGGCUGCCAGCCCCCAGGCCGGGCUGGGCGAGUAUCUCUUCAAAAGGUUCACCCUCAAGCACAACUAGGAGC
rnacentral:pre_miRNA from 2 species